rnacentral:rRNA from 1 species
GACGAACGCUGGCGGCGUGCUUAACACAUGCAAGUCGAACGGAAAGGCCCUGCUUUUGUGGGGUGCUCGAGUGGCGAACGGGUGAGUAACACGUGAGUAACCUGCCCUUGACUUUGGGAUAACUUCAGGAAACUGGGGCUAAUACCGGAUAGGAGCUCCUGCUGCAUGGUGGGGGUUGGAAAGUUUCGGCGGUUGGGGAUGGACUCGCGGCUUAUCAGCUUGUUGGUGGGGUAGUGGCUUACCAAGGCUUUGACGGGUAGCCGGCCUGAGAGGGUGACCGGCCACAUUGGGACUGAGAUACGGCCCAGACUCCUACGGGAGGCAGCAGUGGGGAAUAUUGCACAAUGGGCGGAAGCCUGUUGCAGCAACGCCGCGUGCGGGAUGACGGCCUUCGGGUUGUAAACCGCUUUCGCCUGUGAUGAAGCGUGAGUGACGGUAAUGGGUAAAGAAGCACCGGCUAACUACGUG